rnacentral:lncRNA from 1 species
GCCUUAUUAUAUCUAGAAAAAUUAAAACGACUUAUAAUUUAGAACAGAGCAAGUACGUUUUAUGCUUCUACUUUGAAUCAUGUUGAAUAAUGAAUGUCGAAGCGUAUCCUUUGUUGAUGCAACAAUUUGGGCAUUUUCAUCCUUUAAUUAAUAAAGUAAAACGUAAAAAGGCCAAAUUUUAAAUUAUAGGUCUGUUUAGUUUUAUUUAAAUAAAAACUAAUAUUUAAAAAAAAACAAGAAAAAAGUGGGUUAUUGUAAUCUAGACUAGAAUGGGGUGUACAUAGGUGGAAAUUCCGGUAGCCAAGCUAAGCUCCAUCCUACCGUUUUGGGAUAAAUGUAUUUCAUAAUAAAAAUAUAAUCCUACAAAUAAAAAUAUUAAAAAACCCAAAGGGGGUGGAGCUUCCAAUUACACGAACCGGAAGAAGAUGUGUCGAAGAAUGGCCAAGCCGCACAGACACGAGCUUCGCAGAUGAGUGAAUAUAAAAUCACAUCUCAGCCGCCG